ACAGAGGGUGCGAGCGUUAAUCGGAAUCACUGGGCGUAAAGAGUGCGUAGGUGGCUAAAGAAGUUGAGUGUGAAAGCCCUGGGCUCAACCUGGGAAUUGCAUUCAAAACUCUUUAGCUAGAGUAUAGUAGGGGAAAGUGGAAUUUCCGGUGUAGCGGUGAAAUGCGUAGAUAUCGGAAGGAACAUCAGUGGCGAAGGCGACUUUCUGGACUAAUACUGACACUGAGGCACGAAAGCGUGGGGAGCAAACAGG
rnacentral:rRNA from 1 species